UACAGAGGGUGCGAGCGUUAAUCGGAAUUACUGGGCGUAAAGCGCGCGUAGGCGGCUCUGCAAGCCGGAUGUGAAAUCCCCGGGCUCAACCUGGGAACUGCAUUCGGGACUGCAUUGCUAGAGUAUGGGAGAGGGAAGUGGAAUUUCGAGGUGUAGCGGUGAAAUGCGUAGAUAUCUGGAGGAACACCGGUGGCGAAGGCGGCAUCCUGGACCGACACUGACACUGAGGAGCGAAAGCCAGGGGAGACAAACGGG
rnacentral:rRNA from 1 species